AUGAAACAUCAAGAGCAGUUAAUUCUGCACCAACCGAGCAUUGACAGCUACGGUGGUCCAGUUACGAUGUGGAAGUAUUAAUUUAUUAACUUCAAAAAAAUGUCAUUAU
rnacentral:ncRNA from 2 species